CGCCCUUCGUGGCGAGACCCAUCCCCCAUCCGCCUCGUCGUCUGCUGCACCCCACCUUUCCCACACUAUCUCGUCCGAUGGAUUUUAUUUUUUUCCAAACUUUUCCGAUUUUCCGACUCGAUUUUCG
ensembl:ncRNA Y71A12B.30 ncRNA